AGAGGGAGAGUGAUAAAGAAAGUGGGAGUGAGUGAGUGAGCUAGAGAGAGAGAGAGAGAGAGAAAGAGAGAGAGAGUAAGUAGAGGAGGAGGGGAAGGAAGUGAGAGAGCAGACCAGCAACGUCUCAGCAAGUCUUACACACACACACUCUCACACUGUGGGAGAUGACAGAGGGAUCUGUGGGGAAAGAGUGAGUGAGGGACUAAGAGCGACAGAGAGCUUCAGAGAAGGAGGACAAACCUCUCAUCUUCAUACCUUCACCUUUAUCUAUCUGUCCGUCCAUCUGUCUGUCCAUCUGUCCAACAUGAAGAAUUCCAUCACAGAGGCCAUCUCUGACUACUUCUUCGAGUACGAGACCCCUCGCCAAGUGCUGGUGAGGAACAGGAGAGUGGGAGUAGUCUGCAGACUGAUCCAGCUGGGGGUCCUGGUCUACAUCAUCGGGUGGGUGUUCAUCUAUGAGAAAGGCUACCAGACUGAAGAUACAGCGAUUGGGUCGGUAUUCACUAAGAUGAAAGGAGUGGCCUACACUAAUAUCAGUGGAGAGCAGAAAGUGUGGGAUGUGUCUGAUUACGUCUAUCCUGAUCAGGGUGCUGAGUCUUUUGUCGUGAUGACGAACUUCAUCAUCACUGUGGGACAGACGCAGAGCACGUGCCCAGAGCUGCCAGAUGGAAAGAAUACGUGCCAUUCGGAUGAAGACUGCAAGAAGGGCGAAUUUAAACGUACGGGCAACGGGGAAAUGACGGGAAAGUGUGUGAACACAACCAACACGUGUGAGAUCAUGUCCUGGUGUCCUGUAGAAGACGACCGCCAAAUACCAGAUCCUCCACUUCUCCUAGCAGCUGAGAACUACACACUCUUCAUCAAGAACUCCAUCACCUUCCCCGAGUUUAAUGUAGUCAGGAGUAACCUGGUGGAAGGAGUUGAUCAGAAUUACAUCAAAACCUGUAUGUUUCAUCCAGAGAAGGAUCCACUGUGUCCCAUCUUUAAACUGGGAGAUAUUGCCCAGUACUCCGGCUUCAACUUCACUCAGAUAGCUCAAGGGGGUGGAGCUAUAGGGAUACUGAUUGACUGGGAAUGUAAUCUGGACCUCAGUAUCCAAAAAUGCAUUCCUAAAUACAGAUUCCACGGCCUUUAUGGAAGCUCCAGCGAGGGAGCAUCAGUGGGCUACAACUUCAGAAAGGCUAAAUAUUACGUGGAGGAUAAAGUGGAGAAGAGGACGUUAAUGAAGGUGUUUGGGCUGCGUAUCGACAUCAUCGUACACGGACUGGCAAGAAAAUUUGACAUUAUUCCAACUCUGACGGCUAUAGGAUCUGGAGUGGGAAUCUUCGGAGUGGCAACUGUCGUGUGCGAUUUAGUGCUCUUAUAUUUACUGCCGAAGAGAGAUUUCUACAAAAACAUGAAGUUCAAAUACACAACAGUCCAAGACGAGGUUGGUGUUCUUUAGGAGAACGCAGAAGAUCAGCAUGAGCACUUAACUGUGGGAAGUUCUGGAGACAAAUGAGAAAAGCAUGAGGUUUCUUUCCACUCUGAUAGUCAGCAUAGACAGAUGGCUGAGAUUUCAGAAAAGAGAGCUAUACACGAAAACUGUCUAAACAGUCUAAACAUCAAACAGGUUCAGCCACCUGAGGGACAUUCUUUGUUGUUUCUCAGGAUGUUUCAAGGAGGAUUGAUUUAGAUUAAGAGGAGAUUUAAAUGAGAAAAAUAAGAAUGUCUGAGAGAAAAAUGGAGAAACAUUGUGAGUGGGAGAAGGAUAGAACUUUCAAGACUGUGAGAUAAAACUUAAAAUAAUUAACAAGCAAAUUAAAGAAAAAUACUCAUUAAUAUGUGCCUUAAAAGUGCUGUAUAAGAUUUCAAUCCAAAACGUUUAUCUGAAAAAAAGGUUUGUUUAAAUUUAAGCUGAUUUAAGGUUUAAAUCCUCAGUUUAAAAAAAUCAGAGCGGUGUUUUUGCGGUGUUCUUAUCUUGUAAAUAUGAUAUUUGAAAAUGUCUGGAAGGCAGUAUCAGCACUGUCUCUGUAAAUGAGAAACAAAGUGGCUCAGACUGAGCCAAACAACACUAGACCAGCCAAUCAGAAACCAGCAUUAAAAAAUAAACUUUAUAUAAAAAAAAAAAUCUUACUAUUGUUGGUAAGUUGAUUUAGUUGUCAAGUACAUCAUUGUAUUUCUCAAAACCUCCUUAACAAAUAAAUGCAUCAUUUAUGAUAUUAGUUUUAUUUGUUUUAUAAAUAUGAUUUGUGAAAAUUGUACUUUAUUUCUGCAGGUGCCCAAAGAACAGCCUGAAAAGGUUGAUGAAAGAAAGGAGUGAGGAGGAGGUGGACGCAGCCAGACCUGCUGCUGUACAACAGAUUACUACUACUGCACUGAAUGAUAAAGAAGAACACCCCCCUCCCCCCAAUACACUGGACCACCACGCCCCAGAGACCUGCUCAUCACCUGCUAUACACACACACACACACACACACACACACACUAACCAACAUCACUGAACACGCACACUUUCUUCACAAACUGGUCCAAACCAGUGGAGAUCUUUUCACCUUUCAUUAAAACUGGAGAACACAAUCACAGCAGCUGGAUGUGGAAUAAACACACAGAGAGGAGGUGUGGCAGGAAGAUCUCGGAGGUCAUUUUGGAUCUUUAUUAGGAGCUGCUGUGAAAGAAAGCUGAAAGUUUGGAUGGGGAGAGUUUCACUGCAGACUCUGUGCAGCUGUGAAAACCUUUACAAACUUUAAACUAAAAUAAGCACAACUGUAAAUAGAUUCACUGAUGAUGUCAUUUGUUGUGUAGUGUAUCUUUGCCUGCUGUGAGAGAUUAAAGCAACCAUCAAACCAAGGGACUUAUCAAUAAACAAAACACUGUGUUGAAAUGUACAAAUUCUGAUAAUAAAUAAUCCUGGGAAAUAUA